GACGAACGCUGGCGGCGUGCUUAACACAUGCAAGUCGAACGGUGAACGAGGGAGCUUGCUCCCUCCGGAUCAGUGGCGAACGGGUGAGUAACACGUGAGCAAUCUGCCCCGAACUCUGGGAUAAGCGUUGGAAACGACGUCUAAUACCGGAUACGACGCGGGAGGGCAUCCUCUCCGCGUGGAAAGAACUUCGGUUCGGGAUGAGCUCGCGGCCUAUCAGCUUGUUGGUGAGGUAACGGCUCACCAAGGCGACGACGGGUAGCCGGCCUGAGAGGGUGACCGGCCACACUGGGACUGAGACACGGCCCAGACUCCCACGGGAGGCAGCAGUGGGGAAUAUUGCACAAUGGGCGCAAGCCUGAUGCAGCAACGCCGCGUGAGGGACGACGGCCUUCGGGUUGUAAACCUCUUUUAGCAGGGAAGAAGCGAAAGUGACGGUACCUGCAGAAAAAGCACCGGCUAACUACGUG
rnacentral:rRNA from 1 species